UCCUCAAUCCCACUCACUUGCACAAAAUCAGGGAUCCUUCUAACAAAUUGAUUGCAUUCUUAUCCAAAAUUUCCAGUUGGGUUCUCUUCCCUCAUUGCUCUAUAAAUAAGAGCUCACUCCAUCACUGAAAAGGGGAAGAAAAUUGGUAGUGUUACUCUACUAAAAUUUAUUCAAAGCCUUACCAAAAGCUCAUAAUUUUCAAACUAUUCAGAGUUUCUCACUGAAAUUCUGAAAUAGAUGAGUUGAACCUUAUCACAGAUAGUAGUCGACAUGUUAAAACAAGCGCACAGUAGAGAAAGGAGAGAUCAGAAGAAGAAGAAAAAGCUGAAGAAAAACGAAGAGGAGACAACGAUAACAACCGAAAAGAACACUUACUUGAGGUAAGCAUGGCCGCCGAAGUCUCGCCAGAAGUGUAAAUUUGGCGAGCCCCUUUUACCCUCCGAUUUUAGAUUUUUUAAACGCUAAGGCUUCAUAUUUCUGUUGAUUGGCAUGAUUAAUUUGAUAUUGAUGAAUAUCCUUUGCUAAAUCAUAUUAGAUUUUAUGCUAGGAUUUUCAAUUUGUUCAGAUCUGUUAGCAAUUUUGAAUGUGGGUAAAAAAUUAAUUUUUGUUUCAGAUAUACGAUGAUUGUUUGCAUCAAUAGGUUGUUGGUUUGGAUUGGUUUGACAGAAAUACGGGUCUCUAUUGAAGAACAUCAAUCGGUGUUCAUUAGUUCUUUUUUUUUCUAUAAAGAAAUGGGAAAAACAUUGUUUGAUAUUUUUUUCAUGCCGGUUGGUGUUUGUUUUCAUAUGUAUGGCUCAAAAUCGAAAAAAUAGAGUGAAAGAAGGUUUUGGAAAGAAGAUCAGAGGGAGAGAUUCAUGAGAG
rnacentral:lncRNA from 1 species